rnacentral:rRNA from 1 species
GCAUAACGCGAAGAACCUUACCUGGGUUUGACAUGCAUCUCUAAGAUAAUGAAAGUUAUCGAACUUCGGUAAUUUGCACAGGUGCUGCAUGGCUGUCGUCAGCUCGUGUCGUGAGAUGUUGGGUUAAGUCCCGCAACGAGCGCAACCCUCAUGUUCUGUUGCCCUUCGGGGAUUUCUGAACAGACUGCCCAGGUCAACUGGGAGGAAGGUGGGGAUGACGUCAAGUCCGUAUGGCCCUUACACCCAGGGCUGCACACGUACUACAAUGCCCAGCACAAAUGGAACCGACACCGCGAGGUGAAGGAAAUCGAAAAAACUGGGCUCAGUUCGGAUCGUAGGCUGCAAUUCGCCUACGUGAAGUUGGAAUCGCUAGUAAUGGCGCAUCAGCUACGGCGCCGUGAAUACGUUCCCGGGUCUUGUACACACCG